CCUACGGGAUUCAGCCGUUCUUACUAUUUUUCCCUUUCCUUCCUUCUGCCCCCGCCCUGCCGCGUGAAGGUCAGUGCCCUAUGGGCGUUAAACUUCUUUUGUGCGGGAGCAAUAAUGGUCACGUGUGGCCAGACGAGAGUACCGUACGAAUAAGCAUCGGCUAACUCCGUGCCAGCAGCCGCGGUAAUACGGGGGAUGCAAGCGUUAUCCGGAGUUAUUGGGUUUAAAGGGUGCGUAGGCUGUGAGGUAAGUCAGCGGUGAAAUGCCCCCGCUCAACGGGGUGAAGUGCCAUUGAUACUGCCUUGCUGGAAUGCGGAUGCCGUGGGAGGAAUGUGUGGUGUAGCGGUGAAAUGCAUAGAUAUCACACAGAACACCGAUUGCGAAGGCAUCUCACGAAUCCGCGAUCGACGCUGAUGCACGAAAGCGUGGGUAUCAAACAGGAUUAGAUACCCCAGUAGUC
rnacentral:rRNA from 1 species